AAGAAUGCGCACUCUCUCGCCCACUUUACACUCUCUCGCUUUCUCUCUGUCGCCUUCGUAUGGGAAGGAAUGGUACAUAGUCCUAUGCCUGCUCUCGACAUUUCUCAGUGGGACCAGCAACAGAGCAUAGGCGAUGACUACAGCCAUGAGAAUUGCCAAGUGAUGGUGCUUUUCGCAAAGCGGCAGCAGCCUAGAGCUUUCAGUCCCGGAUUGGCUGUUGCUGGGUAAUGAUAUCCACCGAAUACGAGAACGUGUCGCCGCAAGAGAAACUUCCUACCUUCUUGUGUUUCUUCCUCAAUCGUGCUAUAGGCAGCCUAAAACAUUUGCGGUUGUGAUUUUUCUGUUUUCCCGUUUUGUCUCUAGUUCUUCUGAUUUCGGUUGGCGAAAAACGAAAUAAAAAAAAAUAUACAUAUAAUCAUCGAAGAAAAAUUCCUAUUCUUUUGAUUGUCACAAAACUAAGAAGAUGAAAUCUCGCGUCGCGUAAACUGUGACGGUGCUGUGAAAAGUGAAGAAAAAAUUGUGUGACAUUGGGCAAAAAAGAGUGUGUGUGUGUGUGCGUAUUAUUGAAAAUUUCAAGAAAUAUUUUCCAAAAUUAUCAAAAGUAAUACACAUAAGUAUCCCACACACUCACACAUACAAGUGUAUAUACAUACAAAUCUACAGGAAUGCCAAUAUAAAUAUUCAACAGUAGCAGUCCGUUUAAGAGUGAAAACCGCAAACAAAAAGAAAAUAAUUUGCAAGUAAAAAUUUGGUAUAUAUAUUAACAAAAUCAACAACAAGACGUGAUAGAAAACGAAAUCAAAUUAUUUAAAAUAAAAACACAAAAAAUAAAAAGAUACACAAGUGUGAGGAAUUGUGAAAGAAAAUAUUACCAGGAAAACUCCAUAAGCAAGAUUGGCAGGCCGCCUGUGUUUAUUGUGUGUAACAACAUCCCGGCGGAAAUCGUUGAUACUGAAUAAUGGCCAUUUGCAUGGAAUAGAAUUGCUCGGCCUUCUUUCUUCACAAAGCGGUCAGUUAUAACAGUAACAACAACAACAACAAUAACAAAACAAUUGACAAUUUUUCAAGUACGCUACGCAAAACUCCUAAAAGUAAUGCACAACAAACAUUGCACAAUGGCUGAGAGAGUUUUCACAUACAAGUGUGAGUGAGUGCAAUUGUGCGAACGCAUAAGAGUGAGAGUGAGAGAGAGCUAGAGAGUGGCUGUGCCAACUGUUGGCAUUGAGUUUCCGUUUUUUUGCCAUAUCAAGUAAGGCACUAGUGAAAGUGUGCAUGUAUGCGUCACUGUGUUGAUGUCUUCGAUACAGAAGUUGAAGUCGAAGUUGCUAUGCGUACUGCCGAGUACAUAGGUAUGCGUGCGUUCGUGAGUUUGUGAUUAUGUGUGUUAACAUGCGGUUUCCGGCUAAAGGCGAUACAAUUUAAAUUUUUUUUCUCCUCAUGCGACAUUCGUUUCAAACACAAAAAGGAUUUACUACCGUGGAUUUUCUUUAUUUUAACCUAAAACAACAACACAAAUAACAUCUGUGGUCACAAUAAUUUCAAGAACACCAAACGACAACAGCAACAACUACAACUACAACAAUAUACUGCCAAUAAAAAGAGGAGAUAACAUCUUAAUGAAACCAAAGUAGGUUCAACGACCAUAACAGUCGAUAUUGGUAUGUAUGAAAUCAUUACAGCCAACCAUGAUAAAGGCUUCAUCUUAUACAGACCCAAGCAAAUCCAUGAAGGACUCAAUUACAGUACAGAAAACUUAAACCAAAAAAAAACUUUUUAAGAGAUCGAAAUAUUGGUUUAUUGGGAGCCUUGGUUCUAAAACUCCCACCGAGAGAGAGGCUCCAUAAAAUUGGCUCGGAGAUUCGCUGCACAAGCUUCCCCGAAAGCUACACGCCUUAAUUCGGAAACGGCACUGCAGUUAGUCAAAGGG
rnacentral:sRNA from 1 species